GUACCUACGGGAGGCAGCAGUGGGGAAUAUUGCACAAUGGGGGAAACCCUGAUGCAGCAACGCCGCGUGAGUGAAGAAGUCAUUCGUGAUGUAAAGCUCUAUCAGCAGGGAAGAAAAUGACGGUACCUGAGUAAGAAGCCCCGGCUAACUACGUGCCAGCAGCCGCGGUAAUACGUAGGGGGCAAGCGUUAUCCGGAUUUACUGGGUGUAAAGGGAGCGUAGGUGGCAUGGUAAGCCAGAAGUGAAAACCCGGGGCUCAACCCCGCGGAUUGCUUUUGGAACUAUCAGGCUGGAGUGCUGGAGGG
rnacentral:rRNA from 1 species